AUUGAACGCUGGCGGCAUGCCUUACACAUGCAAGUCGAACGGUAACAGGUCUUCGGAUGCUGACGAGUGGCGAACGGGUGAGUAAUACAUCGGAACGUGCCCGAUCGUGGGGGAUAACGAAGCGAAAGCUUUGCUAAUACCGCAUACGAUCUACGGAUGAAAGCAGGGGACCGCAAGGCCUUGCGCGAACGGAGCGGCCGAUGGCAGAUUAGGUAGUUGGUGGGAUAAAAGCUUACCAAGCCGACGAUCUGUAGCUGGUCUGAGAGGACGACUAGCCACACUGGGACUGAGACACGGCCCAGACUCCUACGGGAGGCAGCAGUGGGGAAUUUUGGACAAUGGGCGAAAGCCUGAUCCAGCCAUGCCGCGUGCAGGAUGAAGGCCUUCGGGUUGUAAACUGCUUUUGUACGGAACGAAAAGACUCUGGUUAAUACCUGGGGUCCAUGACGGUACCGUAAGAAUAAGCACCGGCUAACUACGUG
rnacentral:rRNA from 1 species